AACGAACGCUGGCGGCAUGCCUAACACAUGCAAGUCGAACGAGACCUUCGGGUCUAGUGGCGCACGGGUGCGUAACGCGUGGGAACCUGCCCUUAGGUUCGGAAUAACUCCCCGAAAGGGGUGCUAAUACCGGAUAAUGUCUUCGGACCAAAGAUUUAUCGCCUUUGGAUGGGCCCGCGUUGGAUUAGCUAGUUGGUAGGGUAAAAGCCUACCAAGGCGACGAUCCAUAGCUGGUCUGAGAGGAUGAUCAGCCACACUGGGACUGAGACACGGCCCAGACUCCUACGGGAGGCAGCAGUGGGGAAUAUUGGACAAUGGGCGAAAGACUGAUCCAGCAAUGCCGCGUGAGUGAUGAAGGCCUUAGGGUUGUAAAGCUCUUUUACCAGGGAUGAUAAUGACAGUACCGGGAGAAUAAGCGCCGGCUAACUCCGUG
rnacentral:rRNA from 1 species